CAUCUUGAUACUGCUGUGAUAACUGUGAUUAUAGCUUUUCACCAAGUCUUGUAAGACGUCGGUGUAUCGCAGAGUGUUGUUUGCUGUAAAAUAUCUCCACAUUCUACCUUUUAAUGUACGAUUAAAUCUUUCAAUCACAGAGGCCUUAAGGUGGCUGGCGGUGGAAAAAUGAACGAUAUUGUGUUUUCUCAUCAAAGCUUCAAAACUCUUGUUAAAAAAUUCUUUCCCCGCAUCAGUUUGUAUUUUUUCAGGCGUCUGACUUGACUCAAAAAUGGAUUCAAACGCCUUUACCACCUCAGCCGCUGAUUUUCUCUUCAGAGCCCUGACGUAAGCUUUUUUGGAAAAUAUGUCUAUGACCGUUAAUAAAUAAUUAUAUCCGUCAUUAUGCUCCGACAGGGCUUGCAUAUCGCACAGGUCCGCUUGAAAUUGGUUUAAAGGGCGGGGGGCGAAAACCCUGUUUCUUGGAAAAUGUAUCCUGGCCGGUUUGUGUAGAGUGUAAGCGUCCUGUCCCUGUAGAAAUGUUUUAACAUUUUCUCGAGGAACCGUCUUUCCCAUUUCUUCUUGCACCCCCUUAUGGAGCCGCUCUACACCACCGAGGCUACCGGGAUGCGCGGGAUCAUAGUACACUUUUUCCAUGAAGCGUGUCUCAGACAUGUUGAAAACAGAAUGAGAAGGGAUGCUCGUUUGAGAGCCUUCUUCAGUCACACACACCAUUCCCGGUUUGAUCAGUUUCAACACACCCCAGUCAUUGGAAGACAUCGUAGCCGACAACAUAGGCCCCUCAGUGGAAGAUUCUUCACGCUGAUAGAGAAUCAACUCCCCCGUCUUGUAACGGAACACAUACCCAAAACUCCCUGUUUGACUAUAAGGCUCCAAAGACCAUUCUUGCUGCAAAGGCUCAGAAGGUGACGCCUGAGAACGCUGUACAAACACCGUGGAUUUUUCAACUACUUUUCCACACAAUUCUCUUAUAACGGUCACAGCCGUCUCACCAAUCACGGAUGUAGAACUACUCAUGUUGCCCACAGAUGGAUAUGCCAGGACUAUGGCAAAACUGAUUUGUAACUGUUUUGUAACUCCCGCCCUUCCUUUUUAAAAAAAGGCGGGAGGAAGAAUGGCGGGACAGGCGGGAAAGGGAGGGGGGGGGGGGGGGGGGGAACAGAUGUGGGCGGGUUCAGGGAAAGGUCAACCUGUCACUUUGACAAGAAGUGGUCCAUUUCUUCUCUCCUGACCAAAAGUGAUGGUUUUCCCACGAGAAGACGUCAUAAACAUCAUAAUGUGACCGCAGCAUGAG
rnacentral:lncRNA from 1 species